CGUUCCACCAGCUUCUAGGUAUUCCCACGAGUGUACGCAUCGACGCCGCCGCCGCGGCUUGGGACGAUUCUCCGUAUCUGCUCCUGCGAGUUCCUUCGCGUAUCUGCCAUCGCCGCUCCACUGUGCUCGCCUUUCCCCUCUCCACCAUGCCACCUUGACCUUGCUCCCCGACGACCUCUACCACGCCACUGCUUGUCCUACUGAGGAAGCGGUGGCGGCGCCACGCCUCCACCAACACCCGGCGCCCGUGGGUGCACGCCGCGCCGUCACGGACGCGGGACGCCGUUCCUCGCAUCGCCUCAGCGCCUCGCGGGGAGCCAGCGACGGUGGCCAACUCUCUCCGCUCUCUGGCCGGGCGGCCGGCGGCAGUCCGGCUCUCCGCGACUCCGCCUGUCCGCCACUCGGACGAGGCGGCAACUCCGCCUCUCCUCGCGUGUCGUUGUGCCUCGCCGGUCGCAGCCGUCUCCGCUCCCACUCUGCCUCUCCUCGCCCGCAUAAAUCUCUGCUCCAACUCCCGCUAUCCGUCGCGCCGCUACCGCCUAGCCAGCCACCGGCCGCCGAUACCGGGAGCCAGGGAGGUCGUGGCGUGUAGCACAGCAGGCAGUAGCAGUGCGCCGGUGCCACCUUCGGCCUUCGCCCUUCGAUUCCGGCCUUCCCCUGCAGGUACUUUACAGUUUUACUGCCAUAAAUCAAGCUGGAAUCAUGUUUGCCUGCACCAACCAUGAUCUGUAGAAUGCUUUUAAACAGGCAUACAACACACCAUUAGGGAAUAAUCUACAAGGAAUAUUGCUUCAAGGCAAAAGAACGAGACAACAUAUUAGGUUAUCCCAUUAUGAACAGUUAGGUUGAGCUGCACCUUACAUGGUGGGAUCACUAUCCAUAUUUUAUUACACACAUGUAAUCUAUUUAUUUAAACUGCCCUGUCAAUCCAAUCUACUUUAUAUCCUUAUCUUGGUGCUAGCAAUAUAUUCAAAUAGCUUUGCAAUAUGGAUCUAUGUUGAUUACUACUUAUCAACGAAUUGCCAGUAUGGACAUAUGUUGACAAGGUGACAUCACAACAUGUAUAUACAACGUAGAAUCUAUAUA